GACGUAGGGAGCGAGCGUUGUCCGGAUUCAUUGGGCGUAAAGAGCGCGCAGGCGGUUUGGUAAGUCGGAUGUGAAAACCCGGGGCUCAACCCCGGGCGUGCAUCUCGAUACUGCCCGACUAGAGGUAGGUAGGGGAGAUCGGAAUUCCUGGUGUAGCGGUGAAAUGCGCAGAUAUCAGGAGGAACACCGGUGGCGAAGGCGGAUCUCUGGGCCGGUACUGACGCUGAGGAGCGAAAGCGUGGGGAGCAAACAGG
rnacentral:rRNA from 1 species